GUCACUAUAGUUUAAACGAGAACAUUUAAUUUGUAAUUAAGGGGUUGUGGUGACU
rnacentral:tRNA from 1 species